rnacentral:misc_RNA from 1 species
UUGGGGGGGGGGGGGUUGUGAAGAAGGGGGGGUGCUAGGUGUGUGCGGUUACUGUAGAGAAAAGGAGAAAAUAUAAUAAAAAAAUUUUAGUGGUGGGGGUGUGGGGGGGGGGGGUGUUUGUUUUUUUUUUUUUUUUUUUUUUUUUUUUUUUUUUUUUUUUUUUUUUUUUUUUUUUUUUUUUUUUUUUUUUUUUUUAUUAAUAUAAUACUAUAUAAUAUAUUAAGUAAUCUUAAAAA